rnacentral:lncRNA from 1 species
GGCUGUUGGCCAGCAGGUGGUUGUGUGGAUGCUGUGCUCUUGGGCAGAGUGUCUCGGCCCCUGUGGCCUAGGGACCUAGGGAGGAGAAGGCUGAAGGAGCAUUCAGAGCAGCCAACACCAACAAAUGGAAGCAACAGCUCUCACUCGUGGCGCACAUAUUAGAAGGCACAGUGAUGAUAAUAGUGACUGCCAGGGACUGACGACCAGAGCUCUUACUUCCGUUUUUACCUGGCAUGCACCAGCACCCAUGUUCUGAAACAAACCAAGGCAGAGAGAGGAAGCCACAAAAAUGACAGAUAUUCAACACAAACCUUAGUCUGUUGGAAGGAUUGGCAAACUAAAGCCAUUGCGCUGGUCCUCUGUUUUUAUGGCACCAAAAGUGAAGGAAGCUCCUGUUCCCCCCAAAGCCAAAGCAAAAGGCUUUGAAGGCCAAGAAGGC